rnacentral:rRNA from 1 species
UACAGAGGGUGCGAGCGUUAAUCGGAAUUACUGGGCGUAAAGCGCGCGUAGGCGGCUUUGCAAGUCGGGUGUGAAAUCCCCAGGCUCAACCUGGGAACUGCAUUCGAGACUGCAUUGCUAGAGUAUGGGAGAGGGAAGUGGAAUUUCCGGUGUAGCGGUGAAAUGCGUAGAUAUCGAGAGGAACACCUGAGGUGAAGACGGGUUGCUGGGCCGACACUGACGCUGAGUGCGCGAAAGCCAGGGGAGCAAACGGG